rnacentral:rRNA from 1 species
AUUGAACGCUGGCGGCAGGCCUAACACAUGCAAGUCGAGCGGAUGAAGGGAGCUUGCUCCUGGAUUCAGCGGCGGACGGGUGAGUAAUGCCUAGGAAUCUGCCUGGUAGUGGGGGAUAACGUCCGGAAACGGGCGCUAAUACCGCAUCCGUCCUGAGGUAGAAAGUGGGGGAUCUUCGGACCUCACGCUAUCAGAUGAGCCUAGGUCGGAUUAGCUAGUUGGUGGGGUAAAGGCGUACCAAGGCGACGAUCCGUAACUGGUCUGCGAGGAUGACCAGUCACACUGGAACUGAGACACGGUCCAGACUCCUACGGGAGGCAGCAGUGGGGAAUAUUGGACAAGGGGCGAAAGCCUGAUCCAGCCAUGCCGCGUGGGUGAAGAAGGUCUUCGGAUUGUAAAGCACGUUAAGUGGGGAGGAAGGGCAGUAAGUUAAUACCUUGCUGUUUUGACGUUACCAACAGAAUAAGCACCGGCUAACUUCGUG